rnacentral:misc_RNA from 1 species
CAGACUGGAGCACUAGUGCCUUUUUAUGUUAUUAACUUUAGAAUGGUUUGAUUUGCUCAGCUAAAGCCUUCUGUGAAAAUUGAUUUGGGAGAAUUAUUAAUAUUCAUUUAUUAGUGCAUGAAAGAGUUGAUGGAGACAAGCUUUGAGUCCUCAAUUAAAAAAUGUUGUAGAUUUUUCAAUAGGAUUUAAUAAACUGCCACAUUACAUUUCAAACAGUUUCACCUUUGUUAAAAGGGUGACCAGGUCAACCAGUUCAAUGGCUAUUUCAUUGGUUCAAACAGGUUAUAGUGGGUUUGAUGCACAAGUCAUGCUGAACUGAUUGUGGCCAAUUUCUGGUGUUCCUGAUUGGAAUGGCCAUGCUAAUGCAAAGUCAAUAUAUGUGACAUCCGGCGGAGGAUAAAUAGGAGCAUUACCAGUUUAGGUGCAGUAAACCUCUUCUCCCACUCUUCCUCAUAAAAAACAAAAGUGUAACAAUUUGAACGUAUUACUUGCUAUCCAUAUCCUUCAUUCAGUGUUUCUUAUUAUAAAGUUGUUGGAACAUAUCAUAUCUGAAAUGCUAUCCACGGAAAGCUGGACAUUUCAGUUAGGUCAAAUUUCAUUUCUUCCUACCAAAUUUUUAGCACUGUAGAAAUGAUUCUUUUGCUUUAUGCUGGAAUCUCUCUUAAAAUGUGGUCUUACUUAUGUUUGAUGCACAAGCAGGGUUUGCUUGAUCAAUCUCAGC